UACGUAGGGUGCGAGCGUUAAUCGGAAUUACUGGGCGUAAAGCGUGCGCAGGCGGUUCGUUGUGUCGGUGGUGAAAGCCCCGGGCUUAACCUGGGAAUGGCCAUGGAAACUGGCGAACUGGAGUGUGGCAGAGGGGGGUGGAAUUCCGCGUGUAGCAGUGAAAUGCGUAGAGAUGCGGAGGAACACCGGUGGUGUAAACGGCUUUCUGGACCAUAACUGACGCUGAGGCACGAAAGCGUGGGUAGCAAACAGG
rnacentral:rRNA from 1 species